AUGAGUCGACCUGAUGGGAUCAACAUCCCCGACGGAAAGUUCUACCUUGGAGAUGCUGGCUAUGCAUGUCGGCCGGGUAUUCUUCCACCCUUUAGGAAAACAAGGUACCAUCUCAACGAGUUCUCUGGUAGGAACUAUCCUAGGACUGCACAGGAGCUGUUUAAUCUCAGACACUCCAGCCUUAGAGUAACUGUCGAGAGGGCAUUUGGAGCUCUGAAGAAUAGGUUUAAGAUCCUCGAUCAGAAGCCAUUCCACCCAUACUCCACUCAGGUUAAGCUAGUUCUUGCUUGUUGCAUUCUGCACAACUGGAUCCUCCAGUGGGGCUUUGAUGAACACGUGGCUGACGAGGAAGAUGUCGAGCCUGACGAUGUUGUUAGCUCUGGCCAUGGUGUGGAGGCAUUUGACAAUGAUGCUUGGAAGAACAAAAGGUUGGAGUGGGCAGAGGCGAUGUGGAUUAACAGAGGUCAGUGCAGGAUUUGA
rnacentral:rRNA from 1 species